rnacentral:rRNA from 1 species
GACGAGCGCUGGCGGCGUGCCUAAUACAUGCAAGUAGAACGCUGAAGGAGGAGCUUGCUUCUCUGGAUGAGUUGCGAACGGGUGAGUAACGCGUAGGUAGCCUGCCUGGUAGCGGGGGAUAACUAUUGGAAACGAUAGCUAAUACCGCAUAAUAGCAGUUGUUGCAUGACAACUGUUUGAAAGGUGCAAUUGCACCACUACCAGAUGGACCUGCGUUGUAUUAGCUAGUUGGUGGGGUAACGGCUCACCAAGGCGACGAUACAUAGCCGACCUGAGAGGGUGGUCGGCCACACUGGGACUGAGACACGGCCCAGACUCCUACGGGAGGCAGCAGUAGGGAAUCUUCGGCAAUGGACGGAAGGCUGACCGAGCAACGCCGCGUGAGUGAAGAAGGUUUUCGGAUCGUAAAGCUCUGUUGUAAGAGAAGAACGAGUGUGAGAGUGGAAAGUUCACACUGUGACGGUAUCUUACCAGAAAGGGACGGCUAACUACGUG